GCAGGUGUAUAUGCAAUUUCAGGAUUGCACCAGGAAAUAACCUGUUGAGAAGUCAGUGCUAGGAGAAAGCUAUGCUUUCCAAAUGAAUCCUAUGCCUUCUAAAAGGACAUCCAUAUGAUCCACAUAUGUUUUCUUUCUUUGCCUUAGCUACCAGGGAGCUAGCAGUUAAAUUAGGUCUUUCUCCUAGUGGAGAAAUCACUUGGGCCACUUGUGCAUCUAGAGUGUCAGACCCAAGCUGGGAAAAAGAAUCAUCCUUAAAAGUAUUUCAUCAGCCCUCGAGACUUAUACAGAGCCGGCGAAAUUGGUCCUGGUCCUCUCCUGACUCCACAGAGACUGAAAACAUCAGGAACGAGGACCUUGCAGACUUUGGUAUGAGCAAAGAUCUGACCCCUGGGGUGCUCAGCCUCCUUUGAGGUGACUUCAUGAUGGUAUCUAAAGAAGAGACUGUCAUUCUUGCUGAACAAAUGAUCCCAGAUGUUCCAGAAGAAAGACCUGUUCUUCUCUCUGCAAUUUGUCAGUUCAUCCCCACCCAAUACUUAUCAAGGACUACCAUGAGUCAGAGACUCUGCCAGCACUGGACACAGAAGGAAGAAGGCCUGGUCUGGGACAUCAUGGUGUUUAAAGUCCAGAGAAGUCAACGAGUGGGAAGGUGCCAAGAGCCCUUGCUCUUCCUGGUGUCUUUACCUGGUGAGCUCUGCCCCAUAUAUCCUUGUAACUGUGGUGUACAGAAUAAUGGUCCUCAAUGAUGUCCAUGUCCUGAUUCCCAGAACCUGGGAAGAUACGACCUCACAAGGAAAAAGAGACUUUGCAAAUAUGAAUGAGAUAAAGACCUGAAGAUAACGAGAUUAGCUUGAUUUGUUCAAGGGGGUUUAAUGUAGUUAUAAGACCCCUUAAAAGUGGACACAAGAGGCAGAAGAGUCAGGAAGAUAGAUAGACCCACCACUGCUGGGUGUAAGCAUGGAGGAAGGGGCCACAAGCCAAGGAUG
rnacentral:lncRNA from 1 species